GGAUCCCAGCGGCGGUCGUGUAGCUGAGCAGGCCUGGGGCUUGGUUCUAUGUCCCUGUAGCUAUGUUUCCAGUGUCCUCUGGGUGUUUCCAAGAGCAACAAGAAACGAAUAAAUCUCUGUUGAAGAGAUACCAUUUGACAUUUUAGAGAUGGCUGCAUGCAAACUCUUAAAACAUUUGACCCCGCAGCGCCUCCACCCCAGAGACCCGGACCAAGUUCACACAGGACAAUCUGUGCCACGCCCAGCGCGAGCGCCUGGACUCGGCCAACCUGUGGGUGCUGGUGGACUGCAUCCUUCGCGACACCUCCGAGGACCUGGGACUCCAGUGUGACGCCGUGAACCUGGCCUUCGGGCGCCGCUGUGAGGAACUGGAGGACGCGCGGCACAAGCUGCAGCACCACCUGCACAAGAUGCUGCGGGAAAUCACAGAUCAGGAACACAACGUGGUGGCACUGAAGGAGGCCAUCAAGGACAAGGAGGAACCUCUGCACAUAGCCCAGACCCGGCUGUAGUUGCUCUCACACCGGCCCAACAUGCAGCUGUGCCGCGAUGCAGCCCAGUUCAGCCCCAGCUCACACCCCCCAACACCCCCAAGCUGGUGAGUGAGGUGGAGGAGCUGUACAAGUCCAUCACAGCGCUGCGGGAGAAGCUUCUACAAGCGGAGCAGUCCCUGCGCAACCUCAAGGACAUCCACAUGAGCCUGGAGAAGGACGUCACUGCCAUGACCAACAGUCUCUUCAUCGACCGCCAGAAGUGCAUGGCCCAUCGUACUUGCUACCCCACCAUUCUGCAGCUGGCUGGCUACCAGUGAGCAGCGGCACGGUGCUUCCCCCCAAUCCCCCAAAUAAACAGUGCGUUAGCUUUCUGCACAGUG
ensembl:lncRNA TEKT4P2 tektin 4 pseudogene 2